rnacentral:rRNA from 1 species
UACGUAGGGUGCAAGCGUUGUCCGGAUUUAUUGGGCGUAAAGAGCUCGUAGGCGGUUCGUCGCGUCGGAUGUGAAAACCCAGGGCUCAACCCUGGGCCUGCAUUCGAUACGGGCAGACUAGAGUAUGGCAGGGGAGACUGGAAUUCCUGGUGUAGCGGUGAAAUGCGCAGAUAUCAGGAGGAACACCGGUGGCGAAGGCGGGUCUCUGGGCCAAAACUGACGCUGAGGAGCGAAAGCGUGGGGAGCGAACAGG